rnacentral:rRNA from 1 species
UACGUAGGAGGCGAGCGUUGUCCGGAUUUACUGGGCGUAAAGAGCGCGCAGGCGGCACGCUAAGUACACCGUGAAAUCUCCCUGCUCAACGGGGAGGGAGCGAUGUAGACUGGCGAGCUAGAGGACGGUAGAGGGGGGUAGAAUUGCUGGUGUAGCGGUGAAAUGCGUAGAGAUCCGGAGGAACACCAGUGGCGAAGGCGGCUAUCUGGACGGUUUCUGACGCUAAGACGCGAAAGCGUGGGGAGCAAACAGG